AGGUUGUAAGGAACUGGAUUGCAGCCAGAAAAGGAAAACAAGACCCAGGUCAUACUCCAGUACCUCUGCUGAAGAUGCUAUUAAGAAAGCAGAAGUACCUCCCACUCCGCCACCAAGACUUCCAAAGACUCACUCCAGAGCAUCUUCUCUAGACCUCAAUAAACUUUUCCAGCAAGGUAACCAAGCAGUGAAGUCUGGUUUGUCACAGCCACCUCCUGCAGUCCCACCACGACCUCCAACAGUCAAGAUUGCUCCCUUCCCUAACAAAGCCGAGACCAGUAAUGUUAUUGCUGAACAGCUGGAGAAAGUUCAACAGCCAAAUUUUGCAGAUUUCAGCAAGUUUAGUGAGCAGGUAAGAACAAUCUAAUGAAUCAUUCC